rnacentral:lncRNA from 1 species
ACUGUUGGUGGAGGAGACGAUGCUUUCAACACCUUUUUCAGCGAAACCGGUGCCGGAAAACACGUCCCUCGAGCUAUAUUUGUUGAUCUGGAGCCUACUGUUAUCGAUGAAGUGAGGACUGGAACAUACCGCCAACUGUUCCACCCUGAGCAACUCAUCAGUGGUAAAGAAGACGCUGCAAACAAUUUUGCUCGUGGCCAUUAUACAAUUGGAAAAGAGAUUGUUGACCUCUGCUUGGAUCGUAUCCGAAAGCUUGCUGAUAAUUGUACUGGGCUCCAAGGGUUCUUGGUUUUCAGUGCUGUUGGAGGUGGUACUGGUUCAGGUCUUGGGUCUCUUCUCCUUGAGCGUCUCUCUGUUGACUAUGGAAAGAAGUCGAAGCUUGGUUUCACUGUCUAUCCUUCACCUCAGGUUUCUACAUCUGUUGUAGAGCCUUACAACAGUGUGCUGUCCACACAUUCACUCCUUGAGCACACUGAUGUUUCUGUGCUUCUCGACAAUGAAGCGAUAUAUGACAUCUGCAGGCGUUCCCUUGACAUUGAACGGCCCACUUAUACCAAUCUUAACCGCCUCGUCUCUCAGGUAAUGAUAAGAAUUCCUGCAAAACUUCUAGUCUUUAUGUUAUAAAUGUGAAGAAAUUUGUUCAUUAAUCGUGCUGUUUGGCGUUAAUGUUUUCAGGUUAUAUCAUCUCUUACCGCCUCUUUGAGGUUUGAUGGAGCCCUGAAUGUGGAUGUGACCGAGUUCCAGACAAACCUGGUCCCUUAUCCCAGGAUCCAUUUUAUGCUUUCCUCCUAUGCUCCUGUUAUUUCAGCUGCAAAAGCUUACCAUGAGCAAUUAUCUGUGGCUGAGAUCACCAACACUGCUUUUGAACCCUCUUCCAUGAUGGCCAAAUGUGAUCCACGCCACGGAAAGUACAUGGCUUGCUGUCUCAUGUACCGAGGUGAUGUUGUGCCCAAAGAUGUGAAUGCAGCUGUGGCUACCAUCAAGACCAAGCGCACAAUCCAAUUUGUCGAUUGGUGCCCCACCGGAUUUAAGUGUGGUAUCAACUACCAGCCACCAACUGUUGUUCCGGGUGGAGACCUUGCCGAGGUUCAGAGGGCAGUAUGCAUGAUCUCUAACUCUACCAGUGUUGCGGAAGUGUUUUCUCGCAUUGACCACAAAUUCGAUCUCAUGUAUGCCAAACGUGCCUUCGUGCACUGGUAUGUUGGUGAAGGCAUGGAAGAAGGAGAGUUCUCAGAGGCUCGUGAGGACCUUGCUGCCCUGGAAAAAGAUUAUGAGGAAGUUGGAGCUGACUCUGCCGAAGGAGAUGAAGAGGAUGAGGGAGAUGAGUACUGAGCGAAGGUCAGGGACGACUACACCUUUACGACUAUGAUGUUGCUUUGGAUUUUCAAUGUUUUUUUUUUUUUUUUUUGGUUUUGGCAACUUUGGGUGAUAUUUCCAGUUCAUGGUAUUUUCAAUAAACAAGUUUAUCAAGGCUUUUACUAUGCCAGGAACUCCAUUGAUUGAAUGUGGAAUGUUGAUUUCCUGCUUGGGUAUGGGAUUCCAACUUUGAUAAAAAUGUAUAUGUAUUUUAUUUAAAUAGUUUAUAUAUAUAUAUAUAUAUAAGGCUUUAGUAAAACAUAUUUUUAAUUUAGUUAUAAAACAUAUUAGUAUAAAAAUAAUAUUAAUCUAGUUAUAUAAUCAGUUAAACCAGCAGAGGGGUCUGUUGGGCAUGAAAUGUUUUUCGAAUCCAUGACUUCCCCAGUCAAAGUAUAUGCAAAGAUUAUAUAUAUAUAUAAUAUAUAGCAAGCAACCAAUCGAUAUAUCAAAAUGUUGAAGAGCACAAUCAUUUCAGAUUGAACUCCGAGAAACUUAGACACCCGAAUCCGAAAGAAAGUUUAUUGUUUGUGGACAUUUUAUUACAAAGUAGACCUGUCCAUGGGCCGGGCCGGGCCGAAAAUAUUAAAUAUAUAUAUUUUUAUUUUUAAAAUAUAAUAGUUUUUUAUUUUAAGUUUAUUUAUUUUCAUUUCCUUGACUAGUGUUACAAAAUAAUAAUAAUAAAACAUCAAGUUUGUUUUACUAAUCAAAUGUUAGAUUUUGUUACAACAAUUAAUAUAAUUAAUAAUUUGAUAAAUUUACUAAUUAAAUGUUAGAUUUUAUUACAACAAUUAAUACAAUUAAUACAAUUAAUAAUUUGAUAAAUUUACUAAUCAAAUGUUAGAUUUUAUUACAACAAUUAAUACAAUUAACAAUUAAUAAAUUUGAUAAUUUUACUAACAAUUAAUUUUAAUAACAAUUAGUUUUAAUUUUAUUAAAAAACUAAUUUUAAUUUUAAUUUUAAUUAAAAACGGGCCGGGCCGGGCCGGGCUCGGGCCCCAUAUUUUUUCUUCGGGUCGGGCCUGGGCAAAAUCUCAGGCCCAUAUUUCGGGCCGGGCUGGGCCCGGGCCUAGUAAACGGGCUGAAAAUUUUUUGCGGGCCCGGCCCGAACCCGGCCCGGCCCAUGGACAGGUCUAUUACAAAGCUGUCAUGAGCUUUUGCCGCCUUCAUUUCAUAAAACUGACUUUAGUUUGAACCGCCAAGGCUCCGCUCGAUUUCCAUUCUCUUCUUCAUCAGUAAGGCAUACUUGAAAGCCAUAUUCUGGUCCCCCCCGCAGGCGCUGCGAGAUUGGUAUAAAAGGUUCUCCUACAUCACCUUGUCCUAGAACAAAGAUGAGAUUGGCUUAUUACCUUUUGUGUGGCAAGACCAACCAUGAGCAGCCCUCAAUGCAGCUCCUGUGGAAACCAUAUCCGUCACUGUUGAAAUAAUGAAGUACAAGGUAAUCAGCUAACUCAGAUAUUGGACUUAUAUGUCCUACGCAUCUAUGGUCUAAACCAAAAUAUAACAAAAGAAACUGAUAAAGGUUCAAAUUACAAUAUAAAUUCAUUUGUCAACCCAGAGUGAAUGACAACAUACCGGACCAUCCCUUAGUAUAAACAUCACAACCAAAAAUGGAUGCAAUUAACCCUAGAAUGUGUUUGUUUUCCGUUGCUUUACCAGUAACAAUAAUUCGAUUUGGAAAAGGCAUUCCGAUUCUUUCUGCGUGAGCAUAAAUAGCAAGAAGUUAGCCCUCAAUCAAUGCACAAAUCUGCAAGCAAAAAUCCAUUGCUUUUCAACAAAGUGGCACGGUAAAAACUCUAAACCCAUGUUGCUCCGACUUGUCAGUAUUUUUGAAGCAUCUGUGUUUAACACCGAUGUCCGUUACAUUUUCAGACAUAGGUAUCUGGGACACUCCAAAUAUAAGGAAAAACUUGGAGAAACCCAUGGCGUAUGCAUGCUCAUAUCUAAUACUUGCAAAAUUCAAGUAACAUAGGUAAAAUGUCAUCAGUAUAUAACAUCACAUCUAUUUUAUGUAUGAUUAACCCAGAAGGUUUAUCAAACUUUUCCUCUUCUUUUACAAUCUAGCCAUCCAGUGUUCAAAAGUGAAGUUUUCACUACAAGUAGCGAUAUUAGCCAACUGAAUGUGCAAAAAAGGCUUUUAGAUGAUUAUUCAAGGCUUGGGAAACAAGCAAACUUAAACAAAUUGAAAGAUUGAUUGACACUUAAGUUAUUACUACAUCGAAUUUCUUGAUUGUUAUAUGUUCAUACGAAUUACAAUAUUUAAUUGGUUGAAGUGCAUGCUAAUAAAUGAUCAUCAUGUAUUAGUAGCAAAACAACUAUGCAAAUAAACGAACUAUUCAACAGGUGAUCUCCUCACUAACAAGGAAAAAGAAAAGGCUCAAAACCCAACAGGCACAGGAGGAAGAAAUUCAUCUUCCUUCCUUAUAAAAGAAACUGAUCUUCCCAUCUAUUGCAGGAAAUUGGAAUGAGAAAUAAAGAACAAAUAACUUUGACAUCAAGAAAUGUCAGUAGGAGGACAUAUGUUAAGAAUUGGCUUACAUGCAGUUAAGGUUUUUUUUUCUCUUUUUUUUUUUGGAGUUGCAGCACGAUAGCAUGCUGUCUUUUGUUGUUUUUGUUACUUAGUUACAUUUGAAUUAAGUUAGUAAGAUGUUUGUCGUGAUUAGAUGCUGAUUGACUUGAUUAAAUCAGCUUAGCUAUGUGUACAAGUUUAGUUUUAUGAAUUUCAAGAUGUAUCAGUAGUGUUAGGUAAGUAUUAGGUGAUAGUUUGCUUUUCACUCAAGCUAAUUUCUUGUUUAUAUGUAAGCUUCAAUUGACAUAUAUUGAUGAUGAACUUUUCAACCAUUUUUCAUCUUUAUUUUGGUCCUAAAACAAGCACUUGUUCUUCUUUUGUUAUUCAAAAACACCAACAAUUGGUAUCAAGAGCCUGUUUCUUAGAGGGUCAUCUUUUCUUUUCUAUUUUCAAGUCAAUAUGACUUCAUCUAGUUUCUCUUCAACUCUACCACCAGUGUUCAAUGGUGAAAGCUACAACAUUUGGGUAGUAAAAAUUAAGACAUACCUACAAGCAUUUUACUUAUGGGAGGUAGUGAAUGCUGAUAUUGAACUACCACACUUGAGAGCUAACCCCACGGUAGCUCAUAUCAGACAACACUCUGAUGAUAGAACCAAGAGAUAAAGGCAAUGUCCUGCCUUCAAAACAGUGCGUCAAUCUUGAUUUUUACAAGGAUUAUGGCUUCUGAUACUCUAAAGCAGGCUUGGGACAAGCUUAAAGAGGAGUUUCAAGGCACUGAGAAAACAGGACAGCAACAACUUAUCAAUUUGAGAAGGGACUUUGAACACUUGAAGAUGAAGGAGACUGAAAUGGAGAAGCAAUACUCAGACAGGAUCAUGACUGUUGUGAACAAUAUAAGACUACUUGGGGACCAAUUCAGUGAAAGCAGAAUAGUGGAAAAGGUUAUUGCAACCUUACCUAAAAGAUAUGAAGCCAAGAUAUCUUUCUUGGAAGACUCGAGAGAUUUGUUAACAAUCUAUUUGACUGAGCUAAUUAAUACACUUUAUGCUCAGGAAAAAAGAAGAGCCAAUAGACAGAAUGAGCAUCAUGAAGGUACAUUUCAAGCCAAAAGCAAAGGAAGUUUGAGCUUCUCUAGUUACAAAUGGAAGAAGAGUUGAACUAACAACAAAGAGAAGUCUAAAAGAAGAAAAAAUAUCCAUCAUGCUCUCAUUGUAAAAGAAACUACUCAUUUAGAAGCAUAUUGUUGGUUCAGGCCUAAUGUGCAAUGCAAAGCUUGUAAGCAGUUAGGCCAUGUUGAAAAAGUUUGCAAAAAAAAAAAAAAGCCAUGCUCAGGAGGAGCAAGUGUUUACAGUUUCUUGUUAUGCAAUCAGGAGAAAGAACAUAAAAUGGUGGUGCUUAAUAGUGGUUGUACCAACCACAUGACUCUUUAUGCUAGUAUCUUCAAGUGGAUUGACAGAAACUUCAACUCCAAAGUGAAUGUUGGAAAUGGACAGUACAUCAAAGUAGAAGGACAAGGAAAAGUGAUGAUUGACACUCCUUCAGGUACUAAACUUGUCUCAAAUGUUCUUUUAGCACCUGAAAUAGAUAGAAAUCUGCUAAGUAUUAGUCAGUUACUUGAGAAAGGGUAUUCGAUUGUGUUUAAGAUCAAAGAAUGCUUGAUUUGUGAUCCAAGUGGAUGUAAACUUAUGUCUGUUAGUCCAAAUCUCCAGUGAGGAAAAUCUCGAACACACGAAUGAAACUCGAACAGAAAAAGAAGAAAUAGGAUAAGGCUCCAAGGCAUGUAUCAAGCCACUCUUUAAGGUUAUAUUCGCCCCCACCUAUCUUUGGUGUGCAAAUGAGUUCCAAGCAAAUUAACCUCGAGGAUGCAAUGAAGCCAAUGACUAUUUGCAUUUUGCAUUGGCAAGAAUAGUCUACUACGCAUUGAGCAAUGUAUAACAAGAAACUUAAUUUCUACAAAGGAUUUCUGCAGUAAUACUUUAUAGAAUAAUAAAAUAAUAUUAGAAAAUGAAAGAAGGAAAGAAAGAAUAUUAGAAUUUGUUGGUGUGUUUUCCAAAUGAAAUCUCAUUCCUAUUUAUAGGAAUUUUCAUGUCUCUUCAUAGAGACAUCUUUCUAUAGGUGUCUUUCUGAAUAAUAAUGUCUUUAAAAUAAACACAUAAUUAUUCAUUUAAUAUUAUAACUAUUUAAAUAAUAUUAUUUAAACAGUUAUAAUUUUUUUUUCAAAAAAUUAAAUAACAUAACUUGUGAUUAAUUGCACCCAUUCAUUUAUAGUUAUUGGAACACUAUAAAUAUUUGAAAAUGUUUCAACAAUCUCCCCCCAUCAUCAAAAUAUUUAGAUUUUGAUAUUAUUGGAAAUCAGUUUGCGUAAAUGAAUGUAUCUUAUGAUUGAACCUACAAUUAGAGAAAACAUGUUAAAGUUAAUCGAAAUUGCAUGGUAGACUAAACUUUGAACCAACUAUUCUUUUUGAAUAACCGAACACAUCUCACACAAUGAUUUCAACAUCGAUCAAUGCAUAGUAUCUAGGGACACUAUUAUGGCCAUGUGUCUAUGUCCUCUUUUCAUGAGUGCUGUCAGAGCCAAGCCCUUGAGCUCUAGAAGCGGCCACACUUCCACUCACAUAGGUAGAUCCCAUCAAGAGUGUUCUCGUAAUUAUAACACUCUAACAUAUUUAUGUUAUGGGUCCAUUAAAAGUACAUUACUUAUCCUUCCCUUAUCAUUACGGGUACCUAACACUUUAAUCUUAGGAUGGAUUUGUUUAUAGUGCUAACAGUCACAUGCCAAUAAUGUACCUUGUCUCAUUGAAAUCAAGACUUGACGUUAUACCAAGCAUUAAGUCGAGUUUAUCACAUGAGUGACUCUAAUUAAUGGGUUUGAGUCCUAUCCCUUUUGAGGUUCUUUUUACUGCAUCUCUAGCAAGACUUUUUUUUAAAAGGAUUUGCCAAAUUUUCACUGGACCUCACAUAAUUAAUAGUGAUCACUCCAUCAGAGAUUAAUUGUUGGACAUAACUAUGUCUUAAUCCAGUGUGUCUAGACUUUCCAUUAUAUACUUGGCUAUAUGCCUUUUCUAGAGUAGCCUCACAAUCAUAACGGAUAGAAAUAGGUGAAAUUGGCCUAGGCCAUAAAGGUACAUCAUAAAGCAAAUUUCUUAACCAUUCUGUUUCUUUAGAUACAAUGGCUAAUGCAAUAAAUUCUAUUGCCAUGGUGGAAUCAGUAAUACAUGUUUGUUUCUUGGAACCCCAAGAAAUGGCUCCUCCAUCAACAAUGAAGAUCCAUCCACUAGUAAAUGCACGAUCUUCCAAACUUGUAAUCCAACUAGCAUUUGAAUACCCUUCUAAAACUGAAGGAUAUUCAUUAUAACACAAUCCAUAGUUAAUAGUUUUCUUUAAGUACCUAAGUACUCUAUUCAAAGCUUGUCAAUGCAAACUACUUGGAUUACUUGUGUACCUACUCAAUUUCCCAACAGCAUAUGCAAUAUCUGGUCUUGUACAAGUCAUUAUGUACAUAAGACAACCAAUUAGACUUGCAUAUUUCAAUUGAUCAAUUUUCCUACCAGCAUUAGAUACUAAUUUUAUUUGAGGAUCCAUGGGUGUAGAUGCUAGUGUACAGUUGAAAAGAUCAAACUUUUUAAGCAUAUUUUUAAUGUAAUGUGAUUGUGAUAAAGCUAUAGUACUUUCAUCUCGGGUUAUUUUAAUCCUAAGAAUAACAUAUACUACACCCAUAUCCUUCAUAGCAAAGUUGUUUUACAAGAAUUUCUUUGUGAUUUCUAUUUGUUCCAAAUCCGUGCCAAAAAUGAGCAUGUCAUCUACAUAUAAGCAAAUUAUGACACCUUUUCCUUUUUCAAAUUUGCUAUAUAUGCACUUAUUAGAUUCAUUUAUUUUAUAGCCAUUAGCUAAAAUAAUUUUGUCAAACUUUUGGUGCCAUUGUUUUGGUGCUUGUUUAAGUCUAUAUAAAGAUUUAACAAGCUUACAUACCUUAUGCUCCUAUCCUGGAACAACAAAUCCUUCCGGUUGUUCCAUGUACACUUCCUCUUCCAAUUCACCAUUUAAAAAUGCAGUUUUAACAUCCAUUUGGUGAACAACCAAAUUAUAUAUAGAGGUAAGUGAUAUUAAGAGUCUGAUUGUAGCAAUUCUUGCUACUGGAGCAUAUGUAUCAAAGUAACCAAUACAUUGUUUUUGUCUAAAACCUUUGGCUACCAACCUUGCUUUAAAUUUAUCAAUGGUUCCAUUGACCUUCAUUUUCUUUUUGAAGAUCCAUUUACAACCUAUUGGUUUGGAACCUGAUGAAAGAUCAAUUAAGAUCCAAGUUUGAUUUCCCAUUAUUGAAUCCAUCUCAUCAUUUAUUACUUCUUUCCAAACAGUAGAGUCUUAAGAUUUUAUUUCCUCUUCAAAUGUAAUAGGAUCAGAUUUAGUAUUAUAACAAUAAGGUAUCUUAUUGCAUAUACUUUCACAUUUUCCUUCUACAAGAAACAUAAUGAAAUCUGGUUCAAAAUCUUUGACCUUUUUAAUUCUUUUACUUCUUCUUAAUUCUUGACAAGAUUCAUCAUUAUUAUCAAUUUGUUCCAAUGGAAUCUCAUUCUCAUUUGAAGAAUUAAUUAAUUGCUGUAGCUGUAAUUGUCUUGAAAUAGAAUUAAAUCUAUUUUCAUCAAAAGUAGCAUCUCUUGAUUCAAUAACAAUAUUAAUUGAAAUUGAAUCAUUUGGUUCAAUUACCAUUAACCUAUAUGCCUUGCUAUUAUGUGCAUAUCCUAUAAAUAUGCAUUCAAUUCCUCUUUCACCUAACUUUUUACGUUUAGGUGUUGGAACUUUGAUAACAGCUCUACAACCCCAAACCUUCAAAUAAUUAAGGUUUGGUUUCCUUUUCCUCCAUUGUUCAUAGGGGGUUAUUUUAGUUUCCUUAUUAGGAACUCUAUGCAAUAUAUGACAAGUUGUUAGAACAGCUUCUCCCCAAAAACCUUGUCCAAUACCUGAAUAUGAUAACAUUGAAUUCACCAUUUCAGUCAAGACUCUAUUUUUCCUUUCAGCUACACCAUUUUGUUGUGGUGUGUAAGGGGCUGAAACUUGAUGGACAAUUCCAGUAGAUUCAAAAUAACUUGGAUUAUAGUAUUCUCCACCUCUAUCCGAUCUUAAGCACUUGAUAAAUGAUUCACACUGAAGUUCAAAUUCAGAUUUAUAAACUUUAAAUUUAUCAAGUGCUUCAUCUUUUGAAUGCAAUAAAUAUACAUAACAAUAUCUAGAACAAUCAUCAAUAAAACUAACAAAAUAUUUCUUUCCAUCUAAUGUAGGAGUAUUAUGCAUGUCACAUAAAUCACUAUUGUAUGAAAUCAAGUAAUUUUGUUUUCCUUUUAACCUGAGGGAAAGGGUUUCUUGUAAUUUUAGUCAACAUACAUGUAUUGCAUUUUUUAAUAUUAUUAUUAAAAAUAGGAAUUAAAUCUAAGUUAUACAUGUCAUUCAAUUUUCUGUAAUUCAAAUGACCUAAUCAAUAAUGCCAUAAACAAAAAGAUUCAACCAUGUAAGCAGAAAUAGUAUUUUUAUUCUUAUUAAUAAUAUUGAGUUUGAACAUACUCUCAUACAUAUAACGUUUUCCUACAAAAAUUCCUCCCUUAGACAAAAUAAACUUAUCUACCUCAAAAACAAGUUUGAAACCAAACUUAUUCAAUAGACUUUCAGACACUAAAUUCUUCCUAACUUCUGGUACAUAAUAUACAUCAUUUACGGUUAAAACCUUUCCAGAAGUGAAUUGUAGUUCAACAGACCCUUUGCCUUUGAUUGCUGCGGUGGAAGAAUUUCCCAUGUACAAGACAUUGUCAUUUUCACAUUGUGUGAACUUUGUCAACAUGCUUUUGUCUUUGCACACAUGUUUGGUUGCUCCGGUAUCAAUCUACCAUGUAUUAUUAUCUUGUGCCAUAUUAAUUUCAAAUAUCAUUGCAAUGAAUUUUUCGUUAUUAUCAGUCUUAGAAGAUGAUUUCUUCUUUAAAAAACGACAUUCAUUCUUGAAAUGUCCCGGUUUACCACAAUGAUAGCAUCAGCCCUUUUGUUUCUUUUUGAACUUAGGUGCUCUAUCAGUCUGUUUGAACUUUCUCUUGAAUGGUUUAGUAGUUUGUACUUCCUCCGUAACAUGCACUUUGGCAUUUUCAGAAUUUAGGUUCUGAUCUUGCUUUUGGUAUUCUUCUUCAAUACGAAGAUGAUUUGCCAAAGACUCAAGAGAUAUUUCCUCUUUCUUAUGUUUUAGACUUCUUUUAAAGUCUUUCCAAGAUAGAGGAAGUUUGUCUAUUAUGGAGGAUACAACAAUCAUUGCAUCCAAUUUCAUAUCAUAUUGCUUGAAUUGAUUCAGUAUCUUUUCAAUAUCACGGAAUUGUUCCAUAACAGAAUGACCAUUAACCAUUUGAUAAUUAUUGAAAUGACUGACAAGAAAUUUCUUACUUGUAACAUCUUCGGUCAUGUAUCUUGUCUCCAAUUUGUCCCAUAAUUCUUUAGCGGUGACCUCGUUUUGGUAGGUGUCGAACAGACCAUCAGAUAAACCAUUCAAUAUGUGGCUCAUGCACAUGUAAUCAGCAUUGUCCCAUUUUUGUCUUUCUCGGGUUGCAGCAACAGAUCCAUUUUCAUUCUCUUCAAUUCUUGGAGUAUCCAAAACAUAAGCAAUCUUUAAAGUUGAUAAUAAGGAGUGCAUCUUUUUCUGCCAUCGUCAAAAUUUGCCACCAUCAAACUGAUCAAGUUUGACAAAGUUGGAAGCCAACUCCUUUAGUGUUCCACUUUCAUGUUUUGAGGUAGUCAUCAUGAAAUGUAACUUUAAAAUUGUUAGUCCAAAUCUCCGAUGACGAAAAUCUCGAACACACGAACGGAACUCGAAUAGAAAAAGAAGAAAUAGGACAAGGUUCCAAGGCGUGUAUCAAGCCCCUAUCUUUAAGGUUAUAUUCACCUCUACCUAUCUUUGGUGUGCAAAUGAGUUCCAAGCAAAUUAACCUCGAGGAUGCAAUGAAGCCAAUGACUAUUUGCAUUUUGCACUGAUGAGAAUAGUUCACUACACACUGAGCAAUGUAUAAUAAGAAACUCAAUUUCUACGAAGGAUUUCUGCAGUAAUACUUUAUAAAAUAAUCUAAUAAUAUUAGAAAAUGAAAGAAUGGAAGAAAGAAUAUUAGAAUUUGUUGGUGUAUUUUCCAAAUGAAAUCUCAUUCUUAUUUAUAGGAAUUUUCAUGUCUCUUCAUAGAGACAUCUAUCAAUAAGUGUCUUUCUGAAAAAUAAUGUCUUUAAAAAUAAACACAUAAUUAAUCAUUUAAUAUUAUAACUAUUUAAAUAAUAUUAUUUAAAUAAUUAUAAUUCUUUUUCAAAAAAUUAAAUAACAUAACUUUUGAUUAAUUGCACCCAUUCAUUUAUAGUUAUCGGAACACUAUAAAUAUUUGAAAAUGUUCUAACAAUGUCAGUGGCCAUGACUAAUAGGAGCUUUGUUGUUAACUGGAAUAAAGCAACUGCUAGUGCUUAUACAACUACAUUGGAUAAGUUUGAAUGGUAGCAUAAAAGGAUGAGUCAUGUCAAUUAUAGAUCCUUACUCCAGUUAUCCAAGGAGGAUUUGGUUGACAAUUUUACAAAAAUGGUUGAGAAACAUGCGUUUGUGAAGUGUGCCAAUUGGGAAAGCAAGCUCGGCUUUCAUUCCCAACAAACAAGGCCUAGAGGGCCUCUGAAAAACUGCAGUUAGUUUACACUGAGGUGUGUGGUCCUCUGAUGACUCAAUCUUUGAAUGCCAGUAGGUAUUUCAUCCUUUUCAUUAAUGAUUAUUCCAUGUUUUAUUGUGUUUAUUUCCUUAAGAUGAAAUCAUUGGUUGUGACACCCCAAACCCGAUCGAGGCGAACCGGUCUGAAUUCGAAGUGUUACAUUAGCCACCUAAGUGACUCUCUGGCUAACAACCACCCAAGACACACCCCGACCUUAUAACAUCUCAAACUUAUCUAAAUAUUAGUUAUCUAUUAAUGCGAAAGCAAAUUAUGAGCCAAUUUUAAACUUUUCCUAGGUAAUUUAACAUUAGGGAAAUUUCAUCAUUUUACCACCUAUGGUAAAACUAAUCCAAUUUUAUAUUUAAAUAUUUACCAACCUUCUUUUAGUCAAAAUUUUGCAAUCCAAAAAAUUUCAGCUUAAACUGAGUUCAUUUGCUAUGUCUAAUUCUAGUUUUACUAUUAUGGACUAAAUUAUAACAAAUACAAUCUAUCAGAAUCUACUCCAAAUUAAAAAUUAAAUGUGUUUCUAACAAAUUUUACCCAUUACGAGACUAAUCCUAAAAUUUUACCAAGUUUCCUUAUCAUCUAGGGCUCUAAUUAGACUAAUCAAUUUCCAGCACUAAAUAGUAACUUUAACAAAUUAGAAUACCAAUUUAAAAAGACAAAAAUUUAAACCCCCAAAAACCCACACGGUCGUGUCCCCUAGCCCGUGUGUCAUUAAAUGCCCGUGUUCGUGUCAUGAAAAACUUUUUGGUAGAUCACACACGGUCGUGUGGAAAUUUCACAUGCUUGUGUACAACCCCUCACACUCUCGUGUGGACAGGCACACUCCCGUGUGAAAACCACUGCACCUAUUUUUGCGAAAAACUCGAUUUAAAAAUUGAUUUUGCAUAUUUUAAUGACCAAUUAAACCCAAUUUAACUACAAUUAAUUAACAUAUAUAUACACAUAACUUCAAUUGAAUUUAUUAACAUCAAUUAAGCCUCAAUUAAAUAGAAUUAAGCAAUUAAUUUCAUGCACAUCAAAUACCGAAUAAAUCAAACAAGUAGUGUACCUUAGUCGUUAGUAAACCACUCCAUGGGAAGGUUCAUUUAAACAAUUGUUAGUAUAAAUUUCAUGCUUCACACACCGCGUUAUUAAUCACCUUGUUAUCAAGCAACAAUACACCCUAAAUCAAUCAAUAAUUAAACUCAAACAUGCCUCAAAAUUAUUAUAAAAUCAUUCAAAAUAAAUGUCCAAAGUCCAUUUCCAACCAAAAAUCAAACUAAUUCCCGGGAGUUCCACAAUAUCCGACUAUAGUCCCUAAAAUGCAUAAUAAAGUCUCUACCAAGCCUAAAUCUCUUAGAACUCUCUUGCUCGGCUCCUUAGCUCCUCAAUCCCUACGAAUAUCUACACGAAUAUGAGGGUGUGAGCUUUACAAAGCUCAGUGAAUGUUAAUAAAAACAACAAGUAAAUUAACAUCUAAUUCAUGCUUAAUUCACAACUAAUCAUUCACUAAUUGUCAGCCAAAAAUAAUUAAACAUGUCAAUUUAAUUUCCAUAAGCAUUUUUAUUACCAAAAAUCAAUCAUUCAUGGCUUUCAAUCAUCAAUUGAUAUAGCAACAAUCAUACAUAAAUAUAUUAGCAUUCCUUUCUCAUGGCUUAAUUGAGUGAUCAUACAUCAGAUAAAUGGAUCUUCGAACUCCCACAAAUAUCAAAUACAAUCCAUUGAUUUGAGCGGGCCGAAGCACUCCCUUAUAGCGCCUCAAGUAACCUAUUGAGUGGAGACUCAUGCUCAACACUCCCUUAUCUACUCCAACAAAUCAAUCCACCUAGAGUCAUAUGCUCACAAUGUCACAAAUAAAGGUGAAUACCCAAAAAUCCUAUAGCAUGCCAACUAUAUCCAAUGGAUCCACCAUGCAUGUUUCCAAUAUAUUCAAUCAAACAUAGCAUAGAAAUCAAUCACUAGUGUGCUCAAUUUAAUGUGGCAAGAUGCUUAUGUGUAACAUGUAACAUAACAUUUAAUAUCCAAUUAAAUCAAGCAAUUCAUUUUCCAAUUUUCCAUAAUUAAUUACCAAUUGAAACAUAACAUAUAAUUAUCAAAAAUUUUAGUAACAUGCUUAAAAUCAUCCUUAAAUUUAAUUUAAUUAAAUAGCACUACACCACCCAAAAAUUCACUUACCAUUUUUUUCAAUACAAAUUCAAUUUUUUUGCACAUUUAAUUCCAAUCUUGCAAAAUCAACCAUUCAUCCAUAAUUAUUUAAUUUUAAUCAUUAAUAAAGGUAUUAAUUAAACACACUUGAAGGUCAAUUUACCAAAUCACCCUUAGAAACACUCACCUCACAAUUUUAUUCUAUUACAACAAGUGAUCAACUAGGCAAUUUCGAGCUUCAAUUAUAGUUUAUCUCGGUCCUCUUCAAGAUUUGGAGCUUCAACAAAGGUAAAGUAGACAUUACCACCUUUCCAAAGCUAUAUUAAACACAAUUUUAAUUAACUAUGCUAAUAGAAAUUCACUCACAAAGAUACUUUACCGAAUUUGUAACAUCAAGUCGAAAACUCGAUUCCUCACAAAAUCGACCUCUCCAACCCUCCUAAUCACUUCCAAAUAUCAAUAUUAAACCAAUUACACAUAAACUAAGCAUCAAUUUCACAUUUAAACAAUUUCAAAAAAAUCUAGAAAAUUAAUUCAAGAAGAUGAUGAAAUUCAGAUUUCUUCAAAUUACCUCACAAAUCAUGUUUGAUCUUGAUAAAUAAGACCAAAAACCUUCUAAUAGAUCCAUUUUGAGUUGGAACAUCCAUUUAUUUGUGUAUUUCCUCUCAAAAUUCAAGAUCCACCAUUAAAGCACCUUAAACUUUUGAAGAAAAUAACAUUGAUAAAAAAAAUCCUUGAAUUGACUCUCAAAUCAUGCAAAAAUGCUAGUCUUCAUAAAAACAAGUUUAGGAAUAAUAAUUACCUUUGAUUUGUUCUAAAUCCUUUGAUUGAGAAUCUUGAUUCAAGAAUCUUGAGAAAUUUCAGAAUAUUUUUUGCUACUUUUUAGAAUAAUUUCGGGUGAAUUGAGAGAGUAUUUUGAGAAGGAAAAUUGUUAGAUCUAUUCUCUAGUUAUAGAUCUUUAAAACCAUGAAAAGAAAAUGAAAUUUAUAACUCUCUAAUAUGAUGUAAAUGGUGUGAAAAGUAGGCUAGAUGCAUUGUUUUUAAAGUUGAAACAACCCACCAGAAUUUAAAAAUUAGAAAAUUUGCCUAAUGGCCACUCCCACAUUUCCCUUGUUUUACCAUUUAGUCUUUUUCCUCCAAAAUUUUGAAUUUUAAGGUUUAAUUGUCAAAUAAAUACCCUAAAUUUUCCUUUUUUUUACAAUUAAACCCAAUUUAAUUAAUAUUUAAAUUUAGCUCAAAUUAACUCCCAAUAAAAAUUAUUUUAAAAUUCUUUUUCGACCCAAAUUAAUUAUUUUCACUUAUAAUUAUUUAAUUACUUUAAAAUUCAUUUUCCAAAAUUAUUUUUAUUUUUUCGGAUUAUUUUUUAAUCGAUUUUAGAUGAAAUUAACCUUCUAAAUUAAAUUAAAUAUUACUAGAAACACCAUAAAUUCCUAGUUUCACACUUAGAACCCAAAAAAUAUACCUGAAACUUCUAGACUUGGUUUAGGGAUAUUACAGUGGUUGCUUCUAUAUUUUGGAAGUUCAAAGUAGCAGUUGAAACUCAAUCAAGUUGCAAGCUUACAAUUGUAAGGUCACACAAUGGGACAUAAUACACUUCUGAUUUGUUUUAAAAGUUUUGUGAAGAGUCAAGGGUUGAACAUCAACUCACCUACACAAACACACCUCAACAAAACGGUGUUAGUGAAAGAAAGAAUCGAACUCUGAUGGAUAUGGCCAAAUGUCUCAUGUUUGAAAGAAAUUUACCAAAAUAUUUCUGGGCUGAAACAGUGAGCACUACUGUCUACCUUCAAAUCAGACUACCAACCAAAGCUUUGCUGGACAAAACUCCAUUUGAAGCUUGGUUUAGAUUCAAACCCUCGGUUGCACACUUAAAAAUCUUUGGUUGCAUCUGUUAUGCAUAUGUUCUUGCUGUUAAGAGGGAAAAAUUGGAAAAAAAGGCUCAACUAAGCAUUUUUGUGGGAUAUAACAAUGUCAAGAAGAGUUACAGAAUACUUGAUCCAUCAACUUACAAGGUGUUUGUAAGUAGGGAUGUAUUGUUUGAUGAGAAGUUAACAUGGAACUGGGAUAAAGCUGAGCUAGAAAAUGUUAUUGAAGAUUUAGUAACUAGGUCAAAUGAAGUUGAUCAGUUUGAGCAAGAAAUGGAUUUUGAUGAUUUGCCUGUCAGAGGAACCAGAUUAAUCAGUGAGGUGUAUAAAAGGGUUGAUAUAGAAGCUAUUGAGCCAUUCAAUUAUGAAGAAGUAGAAGUAUUACAAGUCUGGAAGGAAGCAAUGUUGGAUGAAAUGAAAAUGAUUCACAAGAAUCAAAACUGUGAGCUGGUUGGAAGGCCAGUUCACAAGAAAGUCAUAGAGGUAAAAUGAGUGUUUAGAGCCAAACACAAUGCUGAUGGAAACUUGAAUAAGUUGAAGGCAAGGCUAGUUGAGAAGGCUUCAGAAAAAAGUAUGGUGUUGACUACUUUGAAACCUUUGCACCUGUGGAAAAUUAGAUACUAUAAGACUUUUGCUUCCUUUGGCAGCUCAAAGACAGUAGAAGAUACAUUAACUUAAUGUGAAGUCUGCUUUCCUUAAUGGAUUCCUGAAUGAGGAGAUAUAUGUUGAACAACCAGAUGGUUUCAAGGUGGCUAGUAAAGAAACAAAAAUGUAAAAGCUUAAAAAGACUUUGUAUGGCUUAAAACAAGCACCAAGGGCCUAGUAUGACAAAAUCAAUGGCUAUAUGUCAAGCUUGGGAUUCAAAAGAAGCAUCAGUGAGCUAACUUUGUAUGUGAAAAAAAGUUAAAGAUGAAACUCUUUUAAUAGUGUCCUUGUAUGUGGAUAACUUGCUAGUGACUAGUGGGAGUGAUGAAUUGCUAGCAGAGUUCAAAAGGCAAAUGGAGAAUGUGUUUGAAAUGUCUGAUCUUGGUGAAAUGACCUACUUUCUUGACAUUGAGGUAUCUCAAACUUAGCAGGGCAUUUUUAUAAGUCAUAAGGCCUUUGCCUUAAAGAUUUUGAACAAAUUUUGCAUUCAAAAUUGCAAAGCAACUAGUACUCCAGUUGUUAUUAGUGAAAACUCACGAGCUAAUGUGAUUUUGAAAAGGUAAAUGAAUCUGGUUAUAGAAGCCUUAUAGGGUGUUUACUCUAUGUAACAACCUCAAGGCCUGAUAUAGUAUUUGCUGUCAGCCUUUUGUCUAGAUUCAUGCAUUGUUGCAAUGUGACAAUGUGACUCACUUGCAAGUAGCAAUGAGGGUUCUGAGAUACAUCAAAAGGACUCUAAGCUAGAGAGUCAAGUUCACCAAGGUUGAUGACAUGAAACUUUUUGGUUUUGUAGAUAGUGAUAGGCUAGAUCCGUUGAUGAUAUGAAGAGUACUUUAGCGUACUUCUUUACCUUAGGAUCAAUUAUUUUCUAUUGGAGUUUGAAAAAUCAAACCAUAGUAGCUCAAUCGAUAGCUAAGGCUGAAUAUGUUGCAGCUGCUACAGUUGUUAAUCAAGCCAUUUGGCUUAGGAAAAUAUCGGUUGAUUUGAACUUGGAGCAAAAAGAAGCAACAGAGAUUAAAUGUGACAAUCAAUCUGCUAUUGCAAUUGCAAAAAAUCAAGUGUUUCAUGGUAAAACUAAGCGGUUCAAGAUUAAGUUUCAUUUUGUUAAAGAAGUGGAGCAAUCAUAUAAGAUCAAGCUGGUUCAUUUCCAUUUUGAAGAUCAAUUGGAAGACAUCUUGACAAAACCUCUCGGAGCAGCAAGGUUUGAGAACUUAAUAGCCAAGUUGGGAGUUUGCAGCAUGAAAGCCAAUGAGAAGUGUUAAGAAUUGGUUUGCUUGCAGCUAAGUUUUUGUGUAAUUGCAACAUGAUAGCAUGUUGUCUUUUGUUGUUUUUUUUUACUUAGUUACAUUUGAACUAUUAAGAUGUUCGUUGUGAUUAGGUGUUGAUAUUUAGUGAGCUCUUUAGUGAGCACAAAGACCUGCAAUAUGGAAGCAUAAAUAAUAUUUUACAAUAUAAAGCAACAGAAAAAUCGAACAUAAAUACUUUUUGUCAUUGCCUAAGCCAAAUCCCAAAACCCAAAUGUUGUUACACUACUGUUGAGCAUGUCAAACCACCAACGAGGUCGUUGAAUUUAGCCGCAUGAAAAAUUGAAAAAAUUCAAAGUUUUCUAAAUACUCGAAAACCUCAUUAGAUGGAAUAUUUUCAAAAAUUUGUUUUUGGUGCUCAGAGACCUUUAAGCUAGUUAGUAUUUAUAGUGGUGGUUCCCCAUCAAAAACCAUCAAUCCUCCUAUCACACAUAUACCCACUACAACAUAAACAAAGUAGUGGGCAACAAAAGUGGGAGGCAUGAGAAACGUGGGAAUGACCCUACGAACCAUAAGGAGUUCCAACAUUCUCCCACUUGGUUCGUAUUGCCCAUGAAAACUUAAAGUCGAAACAUAAUACACAAAUCAUGGCAAUAUUUUCUCUUAAAAUUUGAGUAGUAUCUUCCAUGUAUCACAAUAUACCAUGUCUCAACGCUUUAUCCCAAAUUUCUUAAUGAAUAAACACAAUAUUUAUUCCAAGUCCAAACUUUAGUGACAUUUCUCGAAAUAAUCAAAUUAAUGUGUGCAUAAAAUAUGAGAAACAUCAAACUUAACAGAGUUUCUUUAUAAUAGUUCUUAUAACAAAAUUUACAAGGAGGGAACACGUCCCAUAGUGAAAACAUGAUCCUUAAAAUUGAAUAGUGGCAUGCCUUUAGUCAAAGGAUGACCUAACAUCUGCUUAGUGUUAAUGUGCUCAAUGACCACUUUCUUUUCUUUAACAUGUUCCCUUAUGACUGGAUACUUAAUGUUGAUAUGUUUACUUCGACUUCCACUUUUGUUAUUCUUAGUGACCACCUAUAAACGAGUUAUCAUUUAUAGUAAAAAUAACACCAAAAUAUAUAUUAAUUAAUUCGGUGACGUCCACAAGUGCACGAAUCAAAUUGUAAUAUAGUAUAGUUUACAAUGAAACACUUGGAAGUAUUCUGAGGAUCGUACCCCAGGGAGGAUGAAAUAAAUCUAUAAAAACCUUUUUACAAUAAAAACUCUAAAUAGUAAUAAUUAAUUCCUAUAUUACGACAAAUCAUAAAAUAGAUUAAUGAGAGAAAUUAAAUAAUUAAAAUAAAUAAAAAUGAGAAAAUAAAUAAACGACUUAAAUCACUAAAACCAAUUAGGAAGAUUAACUCGCUGUAGGGUUUAUAAUUAACUUCAUAUUUGGGUUUUAAGGGGGACUAACUAUCGAUUAACCAAUUACCUCCCAGCCUCUAACUAAUUAAUUGAUUGGUUAAUACUUGUUUAUCUCUCGACCUCACUUUCUCAACUAGGAUAAACUACUAUUUACUUAGUUCGACUCAUCCCCCAAUAUCGUCUAAACUAUGAUAUCUUUCUAAGGUUUAGGGUUGUCAAGCUUAAGGUUUAAGAAUGCAUAAUUUAUACCAACUAAUCCUCUCGAGAAACCCUAAAUCCUCCAUUAAUCACAUUCCUGUCCACUUGCUAAUCUCCCCUAAAGGAUUUAGCCACUCAUGUUAUUAAUAAUUAUAAUCUCAAUUGAAAUAAACAUGUAAAAAACACAAAUAAAUCAGAAGAGAUAAAAGAUUAGAAUAAUCCUGGAUUGACGUCGAGUAGAAGAACAGAGUAGUAAAUCGUUUGAUUGGAAUAACGGAAUAUGAUUGGAAUAACGGAAUAUGUUGCUUGUGAAGAAGAAAUAAUCCGGAUACUUUAAUUAAAUAGAAGAACUCUUGAAUCGAAACCGAUUCCAAGAGGAAAAAUAAAGAGUUUAGAAAAGCCAAAAGAAAAUUAAUUUAAUCCUACUCUUAAACUACUAGGCUUUUUAUUGCAUAUAAGAUGACUUGGUUAUAUCAAACCCAAAUUAGGUCUUCGACAUGUCCUAGGUCUUCGUAUAAAGUUGAUCCUGUGGACGAAAAUAACUUUGACAUACUUGGGCAGCAAGUCGACCUAUGUCACGCCAUAGCCCUUGCAUGGCAUGACACGACAUGUGUUUUGUGCCUUGUAUCGUCUGUUUCAUGCUUUGACGGCUCCAGAAGCUUGUGCAUCACUCGUCCUUUGCUUCCACACCAAUUCGGCUUAUAAAUCAUCUGUUGAGUACGAUUCAUAUUUCAGUCAAAUUUGAGAGAUAAUCUCCUAGUUAAACACUAUUUAUUUGUUUCAAUUGAACUCUAAUUAGUCUAUAUUAUUUUAUUAUUAUUUGACCUACGAAUUUAGCCUAUAAAUAGGCUCUUUUACAACCUUAGAAAAUACACUUAUUAAAUAUUAGAACUCAUAACACUUUUGGAGAAUUUUGUAUUUACAUUUUUUGGGUUCUUUAUUUUUGGGUUUCGGGGUUUAGUUUUUAUCUCCAUCUUUUAUACUCUUCGUUCUUUCUCCAUUAUAGUAAAAUUAUCUUUACCCAUGGUUUUUUAUCCUCUUUGAAAGGGUUUUUCCACGUUAAAUUUAUGUGUUCAAAUUCUCAAUUUCUUCCACUACUUUUACUUGUUCAUUGCUUAAUCGAGUCAAUCCCUAACAUCAUCAUCCUACACACUCAAUUCAACAUAUUAGCACUACCUAAAGCCCAUGUCGGCUUAAUAGAUAGGUGUUAAAAAACACUUAUUUUACUAAUAUUUAAUCUUAACUACUAAAUACCAAAAACAUACCAUUACAUACUAAAUUGGCUAUAAAACAAGCUCUUCAAGUGCGGAAAUAGACCAACUUAACUACUACAUUUGACGGUCAAAUACCCCAUACUUAAGUCUUUGCUUGUCCUCAAGCAAACUAAACGAGAAAAAAAUAAAAACCAAAAAUAAAUUAAACUAAAAACAAGAAAUAAACAUGCAAAGAAAAGAAAAUGUACUCGAGCUAACUUGAUACAAGAAAUUAGAUAGAAAUAUAUUAGCAAGACAAUGUAAAUAAAUAUAUAACUCUAGAGUGAUAUACAAUUGACUAACAAUUUCUAAAGUUAGACAGGUUAGUUCAAUAAAUUACAAAGUAAACAAAUAAAAAAAUGUUAAUUAUAGGUUUCCAUCAAAACAGAUAUACAAAUGUACACGUACGUUCAAAUGAAUAUAAUAGGUAAAAACAUCAAAACUUGGCACAAUUUCAUCCAUAUAAAGUCCUACCUGAGUCACAUAGGACUUUUCAACUUGUAACGUUAUUCGGCUUAGGUUGGUUUGAAAUUUAAAAAAACAGGCUCGACAAAAUGGUUAAGCAUGAAAUUAGUUUGACACAUUGUAUUCUCCCCUAUACUCCCCCAAGUAUACAUAUAGCUCACCACCUUAUGUCCACUUCUCUCACUUUCCUUAUCUCUCUAUUUACUAAGGCAUCGUGUAAUAUUCAUGAGUACAAUCAUUCGAGCUCGUAAUAAUUUGUUUUAACAAAUGUGAGUGUACUUUUUUUUCAAUUCACUUUAUUUUUAUUUUUCAUCGAGAUUUUCUCGAUUGUCAUUUUAUCUUAUUUUUCUAUAAGCUUAAAAUCUUAUACUCAUGAUACCAUACAAUUCCUUAGUUCACUUACUUUGUUUUUCUCUUUUGAAAUCACCGAGAUGUAUCUAACUAACCCCUCAAUAUAAAUGGCCAAACGUCUAAAUCCAUGCAAGGACCAAGAAUUAAAGGAUCAAAUAGAAUAUAAGUUAGGCUUAAGUUUUCAUUUUUAGUUCAUCAAUAAAAUGGGUUCAGGCUCAAAAUAGGUACUAGGGAAAAUAUUAACAGGAUAGCUUUUUGGCUCAAAAAUGUCUACCAAACAAUGCCUUAGGUCGUCCCUAGGUAAUUCUAUACAUAGAUUAAAUCAGCCAAGUCUAUCAAUUUCUAAAACCUAUAAUUAAAUUAAACAUGCAUGCUAUUUAUAUACCUAUUAUAACACCCUCACCCGAACCUGCGUCGAAUCCCGAGUAUGGAGUGCCAUAAAUGGACCGACUUGGACUAAUGACCAAAUUUUAAUCUUAAUAAGCUUAAGACGAACUUUGUUAAAUAAUACAUAUCUCUUACAAUAAAAACUUUAAAUUAAAAAAAGUUACUAACUCAAAUUUCAAACUGUAAGGAAACGAUUUAUCUAUAAUAUAUUUGACCCCGAGGCGAAGCGUCUCAGGAUGCCCGCUUCCUAUAUAGUUGACACCUUACCGACGUUGAUUCUUGAUCGAACACCAUCUGGCUUUAUCCCUUCUCAAGUUCGUUAUCUAACAAAUCUUGCAAAAAACAAGUCAAAACUUUGGUAAGUUCAAUAAACUUAAUGAGUUUCUUCACUACCAAAAUACAUAACUUUCCCCUUUUUUACUAUGGUAUAAUCUUAAAAGAAAAUAUAUGCUUUCGAUCCCUAUUUUUACUUAGACUUUAGCGCCUUAUUUGCACUGGAGGACUCUCGUAUACCUUCCACCUUUCUUUAUUGGCAAUUCAACUGCUAAUACCAUAAGACCCUAGUCAAGCUUAUGUCUCGUCGAUAGGGUUUUGGUGGUUUCUAAAAUGAAUCAUCAUUUUCACUAUACACUAUAUCCUCAAUAGAGCUCCCAAUACAUUGUUCUUAUUUUUAAUUAUUCUCUUAUCUCAUAAUAGUUUGGUGGAUUUAUUGUCAUUUCUUCAAUAAGGCAACUAGUAAGCCCCAUUCCACACUGCCUGACUUAAUCUUAUCUUACCCUUCUUUAUCCUGCCCUACACUCGGGUUGCAAAGGCUUUCCAGAUAACUUCACCACUAAGGCUUCCCAAAUAAUAUGACACGUAGGCUUUUCAGAUAACUCACCACAAAGGCUUUCCAGAUAAUAUGCCACAUAGGCCUUCAGAUAACUCGCCAUAAAGGCUUUCCAAAUGACUUGUCACAAAGGCUUUCCAAAUAACUUUGCCACUAAGGCUUCCCAAAUAAUAUGUCACAUAGACCUUUUAAAUAACUCAACAUUAAGGCUUUGUUUGGUUUGCCACCAAGGCACCACAUAAAUUGUUAUGUUUGAUGAUAUGAAUUUGCCUAAACUCAACAUCACUUGAGGUUUGCCCAUUAUCGUCCCUGAGACAAGUAGAAACCCUCGUAGACAAAUGUAGCUCAUCUAUCAUUCCCAGAAUUCACCAUGGCCAUGAUCUUUCCAUAUAUUUGCUACACUUUUUUUUCUCAUGUUUUCUGUCUCAUUGGAUGUCAUCAAACACCACCACGGGGUAUAUUAUCAUAUCAAAUAUUUUUCUCGACACUCCAUCUAAACCCCCAUUUCUCCAACCAUACUUUUUCAUGCAUAAUUCAUUUAACAUAAUGGACAUAUUUACAUAUAUUUCACUCAUAUCCAUAAUAGAGUCAUACUUUCCAACUCAUAAUUUCUUAUGCAUGCUUACCACAUAUCAUUAUAUUCAUGCAUCAUUGUACACUCCAUUUACAUAUCUGUUGAUACUUCACAGAAAAUACACACACACACAUACAUAAAACAACUCUUCAAGCACAACUACAGCAACAUCAACCAUACAAAGAAUCAUCACAAAAUAACACGCAGGAGUCGAGUCUAGAGCCUUACUAGAGACCCACUUUUACCUCGGCCCGAAGCUUUUAAUUCGAUUGCCCCUCUUGAUUCAAUAGCAACAACUGCUUACAAGAUCACGAAAUUUCCAUUAAAAUCCCCAUUAACAAAUAGUUUACUAAUGUUUCAACUACAUGCGACCCUCAUUUAAGGCCUUCCUCUCACACCUUACUGUUCUUACAUCUUUUAAAACCUUUACUCUUCAAUAAUUGUAAAAUACAAAGCUAUAAGACUUACCAGAAGGUUGAAUCAUCCAUUGGUUAAAUAAAAUCUUAGCUCUAGCUUAACGAAGAAGAAGAGAACAUUUAGAUUAGAAAGAAAACCCAUCUCGAAUGUCCCCCUCCCUUUUCACCUUAUAUAUACUCUCGGUCCCCUUGAUUUACCUACCAAAUUUAGAGGUAGGUAAAAGAAAAUCUGGCGAAUAUCUACGUUACUAUUUGACUAGAGGGUCAAAUAAAUCUGAUUGACUCCCAACUAAUCUCAUUCCAAGAACCAACUUAAACAGUUCUCACGCAAACCGAGCGUACUAUACAUUGGUAGUGACUUACGCAUGGCGUGGUCUUAAAGACAGUUAAGUCUCCUACAACUUUCUCAUACACUUGGUAGGCUCUUCGUGCUCAGCCAAAACUUUUAGGCGUACUCUUUCUUAAGCGUACUUUCUUGAGUGUAUUCUUUCUUUACUUGAAGAUACCUUGUAAUUAAAUCCUUAGAUACUGCCAACAGGCGGAUGCUUUACACCGGCAUGCACCAAUACUCUUAUUUUCCAGUAAGCAGACAGGGUGGUGGAUUAUGCUACCAUAAUACACCAAAAAAGUUAACAUGCAUUCCUUACUAGCCUUUUUAGAUUCGUCAUUUUUAGGGUGUGAUAGUUUCCUCCUCCUAAAACAUUGUUUCUUUUAGCAAGGUCUCUUCCUAUCUUGAGCUCUUCAAUUAGUUGCUCAUUCUAGGCAUUUUCAAGUUCAACAGGCAUUGACACUUCUGUUGUUCCUCGUAAAGGCUUUGCCAUUUAGAAAGUUGGGCCUCAAGGUGACACAUCUUCUCUUGCAUAUCUCUAAAUUACUCUGGAGAGAGUGGGGAAAGUAUCUGGUGGAGGUUGAGACUAAUGUUAGGUCGCUUGGUCGGGUUUGAAAGGUAACUGCUAAGUAACUUGUACAGGUGGUUGAGUCAAUACUUAGGAUGAAAUGAGCUCUCGAUUAAAGUUUUUUGUUAGGUUAGCAAGGGUAUUUGUUGAAGAAUGAGUCAUGGUUUUUGGCCUAUGCUCACUGUACCAAUUGUUGAUACAAGGGAUCCACAAGGAGGAGAUAUUGGUAGUUUUCUAGAGGUUGGUUCACCUAUGAAAAAUAAAGAAUUGCAGGAAAGGGCUAGGAAAAGAAGAGAGUAUGAUAAAGGAAGGAGAAUGUUGGAGAGUGUUAAGUGUUCAAAUGGAAUGCUUAAGGAAGAAGAAGAUCAUUGGCAACUCGUGUGUUGGGGUAAAUAUAGGGGAGGUCCCCUUGUCAUUCAAUGCCAUGUGACCGAUGAUAUAAAUGGUGGGUUGUUUGUGUGGCCUGCUAGGUGGCAAGUCUAUUGCAUGUCAGUUGUUGCCAAACGUAAUACUAUGUGGUCUUGUUUUGACAUUCUCCUUGUUGAGGUAAUACAAGGUUGUUAUACCUUAGUGGUCCUUUAAUGACCCCACUAGGAGGAUAAAAGCGAGUCAUUAGAAACAAGUGGCCUAUUGAUAAGUGAUAAAAAUAACAUGUUUUAUCCUUAUUCUUAAUGCAUUUUUUUGUGAUUAUUCAAUUUUAAUGGUGAAUUUUAUGCUCCUAAUCCUUCAAAUUUAGGUUUUUAUACUUAAGAGAGUGUUUGGGAGCAAAAGGAGCGAAAAAUGAAAAAUAACUGAAAAAUUAAAGUAAGGUACAAGGGCCACACAGGCUGGACACACAACCGUGUACACCAUAUGACCUAUAUGUGGGAAUCACGAAUUGCACUUCAAACCUGCGAGAAAAUGCACUUUUUAGGUUUAUUGGGCAUUCUAAGACCUAUAUGUGACACAAAUAAGAAGAUAGGAGGGAGCCGUCAUAGAGUACUGAAGAAAACGACUCGAAAAACACCAUUGAAGCUAACUCUAAAGUAGAUUUCCAUCAAGAUUGAAGAUCUCCUUUUGAUUUCUUUGAAGUUUAUUAUGAUUUUCUUUGUUUCUUGUGGUUAUACUGUCUUUGGGAUGUUUUUAUUUGCUACCAUGAACUAAUUUUCCAAAUACCUAAGGAGAUGAACCUUGUGAUAGAUUCUGUUAUUUGAUUUCUAUUUUUUCGCAAUAAAUAUUUGAAUCUUGUUCUCAAUUAUAUGUGCUUAAUUCUUGGUUUAAUAUUUCCUAACUAUUAAUUCAUGUUCGAUGUGCUUAAAUCAGAGGAGGAAAAGUACCUGUUUAAGAGUAGAUCUAGCAUAAUUGAGUGGAGUUGCAUGUAAUCCUAUAAAUAGGACGACAUAAAUCUACCGAAUUAGAGUAAAAUCUAAUAGGGGGAUUCAUAGAUCGAGUUAAUGCGCUAAUAAGGGUUUUAAUUAGAAAAAAAUUUCAAUUAAUCAACCUAGAUUCAGUUGCUCUUACUCUCGAAAGAGAUAUUAGCAUAAUUUAGGGAUUUCUACGGAUCAAGAUACUAAGUGAAGAAAUUGUUUAAUUUAGAUUGAUAAUGAUAGAUGAAAUCUAGGUGGAUUCUUUCCUUGGUAUUGUUUCUCUUAUUGGUUGUUAAUCAUUUGUUUUCCUAAUUCGUUAUUUGUCGUGUUCUUUAAUUAUUUAAUUUAGUUAAUUUUAGCUUUAACUAAUCUCUCCAAUUUUUCGGUUAAAUAAUAGAAAGACUGUAAUUACUAGUACUUUUAGUCCUCGUGGGAACGAUAUCUUUGCUUACCGUAGCUAUACUAUUAAUUGAUAGGUGCACUUGCAUUUGUCGGAUUUUUAAUUGAUUUAUGAUUGCAAUCACCUGUUGGAGAC